rnacentral:tRNA from 1 species
CAGAAAGUAGUUUAUUAAAAAUAUUAAUUUUGGAGAUUAAAGAAAAAACUAUAGUUUUUUUUCUGA